GCCAGGUGCAGUGGCCCAUGCCUGUAAUCCCAUUGGCUCAGGAGGCAGAGGCAGGAGGAUUGCCAAUUCAAAGCCAGCCUCAUCAACAGUGAGGUGCUAAGCAAUUCAGUGAGACCCUGUCUCUA
rnacentral:sRNA from 1 species